GGGGCUGAAUGGGGUACUGGUGUCCCUCACGGUCUUCAAAACCGCUCGUGACCUGCGUGCCAGGUCAGCUGGGUUCGAUUCCCAGGCGGUCCC
rnacentral:tRNA from 1 species